CAAUAUAAAGGAAUUUGACCUAGGUACACUGGCUGUCCUCCGACUCUGUCACCACCUGAACUACACGGCCAAUUGUUCUCUGUCUAUAGUUCCUUCCGUGGGCCAUCCAACAGCAGAAGAGGGCAAUUCUAAUUCUCCCAGGGUUCAUAACCUCUAGGGGGUUAACUGAACUCUAUAAUCUCCUGCAAAACCUUUUGUAAGGUUCUGUAAUGUGCAUUUUAGUAGAGUAAGUGGUGACGAUUUGAUGACUUUCCUUUUAUUUUUCUUUUUGAAAUGUUUUUAACAGGGUUCCUAGCGGAGCGGGCUUACUUUGUGUCUGGCUCAUUUUUUUCCUCGAGACGGAACAACAUUCACCCUACGAGAGGGAAAGGGUAGAAGGUCACUCAGUCACGUAAUUGACACUACAUCGAAAUCAAAGCUAAAACCAAAGUGUUGUUAUAGGCACACCCGUUCGUCCAGCAAUGUAAGCCAAACCAAAAUCAGGAGCAAGACCAAAGUGGCAAUAAAGGCAGGCCUGUUUAUCCAGCAAUUCAAGUCAAGUCAAAAUCGAAAGCGAAACCGAAGUAUCAACCAAUGAAUUGAAGUCAAGCCAGAAACGAAAACCAAAGUGCCGGUACAGGUACGCCGUGGGUGAUCAGGCCACGCUUCCACUCAAAUGGAGUGGGGGAAGUUCCAAAGAGCAGUCUCAGCAAGUUUCACACGUCCGGACUUAAAGUGCCAGUUCCUUCCCAGUGUCCAGCCACUGUGCCGAUCCUCCACGGGGGCCUGCUGUGCCCUGCUGUUUCGAGGCGAGGCAUUGCACCGGGGCAGAUGCCCGCCCGGCAGCACUCUUGAGGAUCCGCAUCGCUCAAGCUGGGCAGAGUCCCCCGCAGGGAUGCUCUACAGGGCAGGCAUAAGCUGCCUAAGGGGCUGCCUCGACCCUCCGUGCAUCACCACCUGGCUUCCCGGUGAGGGAACCCAGAAAUGUAGCAGGACAAGCCGCAGACAAAACUCCUGAGGCACCGGAUGAAAGAAGGAAGAGGUUUUUCAUUCGGCCGGGAACGUCGGCAGACUCGCAUCUUAGGAG